AAGAUUACUAAUGCAUUAACAAAAAUACAGAGUUCGAGACAUAGACGAGGGGAACCAGAAAGAGAAAUGAAUUCAAUUGGGAGCGUUUUGUAUAAGAGAAUCUCAAAAUUUCAGUGCAAUGUCAGGUUAGGAAUAAAAAAGUAAAGAAAUAACAUGAAUUCGAAGGUAAAUUAUCUAAAUACGAAUCAUAUUCUGCCAACAAACUUACUAUUCUUGAUUGCUAUUCAACCUGCUAGAGAACGUAAAAGAAGGGUUAAUCAUUGUUUUGUAUACAUUAUGAUUAUGAUUCGUUAGACAUUAUCAGCUUUAUACAUUGAUAAAGAGUUACUCUGUUUGCCGCUCGAUGAGUGGAGAAACACACGACACUCUGGCCUAAAAGAAUCGCUUUCCACUACAGCCAUUUGUGCACACGACACAAUAUCAAUCUAAAUGAUAAUACAAGUAUAAAUUGGGCGGGAAAUAGUGCAUCAGUCAUCAGAACAAAGUGUUCACUGCAAGUUUACAGUUCCAAGAAGUGUCGAAAAGAAGUGAAAAUGCCGUGCAAAGGUUGCGAUCCAAAGUGCAAGUGCUGCACGAAGAACUGCUGCCAAGGAUGCAACUGCGAGACAAAGUGUCCUUGCACCUGUGACCAAAAGGGAUGCUGCACCAAAGAGUAAUCCAGGGGAUGGAUGAAGUGAUUUGGAAUUGGAAGUGUUUGAAAAUAUAAUAUUUGUCAGUUAAA